rnacentral:sRNA from 1 species
ACGCACUGUCUUUCAGUUUGAUGUCCAGAGGAAGUACUUCAAGGAAGCCCUUGAUAGAUGGGCCCAGUUCUUCAUCCACCCACUAAUGAUCAGAGAUGCAAUUGACCGUGAAGUUGAAGCUGUUGAUAGUGAAUAUCAACUUGCAAGGCCUUCUGAUGCAAACAGAAAGGAAAUGUUGUUUGGAAGCCUUGCUAGACCUGGACAUCCUAUGGGAAAAUUUUUUUGGGGAAAUGCUGAGACGCUCAAGCAUGAGCCAAAAAAGAAUAAUAUUGAUACACAUGCUAGAUUGAGAGAAUUCUGGAUGCGUUACUACUCUUCUCAUUACAUGACUUUAGUGGUUCAAUCCAAAGAAACACUGGAUACUUUGGAAAAGUGGGUGACUGAAAUCUUCUCUCAGAUACCAAACAAUGGGUUACCCAGACCAAACUUUGGCCAUUUAACGGAUCCAUUUGACACACCAGCAUUUAACAAACUUUAUAGAGUUGUUCCAAUCAGAAAAAUUCAUGCUCUGACCAUCACAUGGGCACUUCCUCCUCAACAGCAACAUUACAGGGUGAAGCCACUUCAUUAUAUAUCCUGGCUGGUUGGACAUGAAGGCAAAGGCAGCAUUCUUUCUUUCCUUAGGAAAAAGCAAGUAUUCAAUUAAUAAGUAUUUUCAGUAUAGCAAUCUCUGAAAAAUAAUAGACAAUAAGUAUUAUAUAAUGCAUUCUUUUACUUUAGCUGCCAGGAAGCCUAGAAUAAAAUUUAAUGCUUAAUUAUAGUCAUUUUAAUAACUUACAUUAUUUUAAUGGCCAUAUUAUAUUUGUGUAUUUCCUUGUAAGCCACCUUUUAGCCCAUUGUUGGAAGUUAUUUGUACACAAAAUUUUAAAAAAUCAUAAAUGAAAUUAAUAGAUUCCAGAAUUACAUAAAAGAAUUAGCUCUAAUCAAGAAUUUAUAUUUGACUGAAUGGUAAAGAAAUCAAUUAUUUAAAUGCUAUGGAUCUCCAGGCUUUCCUAACCCCCAAGGCUAGACUU